AGUGAACGCUGGCGGUAGGCCUAACACAUGCAAGUCGAACGGCAGCACAAUAAGAGCUUGCUCUUACGGGUGGCGAGUGGCGGACGGGUGAGGCAUACAUCGCAAUCUACUUUUUCUUGGGUGAUAACGUAGGGAAACUUCCGCUAAUACCGCAUAUGUCCUACGGGUUGAAGCAGUAGAUCUUCGGGCCUUGGCUGUUUCAUUUAGCUGAUGUCGGAUUAGCUAGUUGGCGGGGUAAAGGCCCACCAAGGCGACGAUGCGUAGCUGGUCUGAGAGGAUGAUCAGCCACACUGGAACUGAGACACGGUCCAGACUCCUACGGGAGGCAGCAGUGGGGAAUAUUGGACAAUGGGCGCAAGCCUGAUCCAGCCAUACCGCGUGAGUGAAGAAGGUCUUCGGGUUGUAAAGCCCUUUUGUUGGGAAAGAAAAGCAGUAGGUGAAUACCUCGAUGUUCUGACGGUACCCAAAGAAUAAGCAACGGCUAACUUCGUG
rnacentral:rRNA from 1 species